CAACCAGACUCCUACGGGAGGCAGCAGUGGGGAAUAUUGCACAAUGGGGGAAACCCUGAUGCAGCAACGCCGCGUGAGUGAAGAAGUAUUUCGGUAUGUAAAGCCCUAUCAGCAGGGAAGAACAAUGACGGUACCUGACUAAGAAGCACCGGCUAAAUACGUGCCAGCAGCCGCGGUAAUACGUAUGGUGCAAGCGUUAUCCGGAUUUACUGGGUGUAAAGGGAGCGCAGGCGGCGCGUUAAGCCUGGUGUGAAAGCCCGCGGCCCAACCGCGGGACUGCAUUGGGAACUGGCGCGCUGGAGUGCCGGAGGGGUAGGCGGAAUUCCUAGUGUAGCGGUGAAAUGCGUAGAUAUCAGGAGGAACACCGGUGGCGAAGGCGGCCUGCUGGACUGCAACUGACGUUGAGGCCCGAAAGCGUGGGGAGCAAACAGGAUUAGAUACCCUAGUAAC
rnacentral:rRNA from 1 species